AGAGUUUGAUCAUGGCUCAGAUUGAACGCUGGCGGCAUGGCUAAAACAUGCAAGUCGAACGCGAAAGGUAGCAAUACCGAGUAGAGUGGCGAACGGGCGAGUAAUGCAUUCCUAACGUGCCUCGAGGUCGGGGAUAGCUGUCCGAAAGGACAGGUAAUACCCGAUGAUCCUGCUGAAUCGCAUGGUUUUGCAGGCAAAGGUUUACUGCCUUGAGAUCGGGGAAUGUCCUAUCAGGUAGUUGGUGAGGUAAUGGCUCACCAAGCCAAAGACGGGUAGCGGGUGUGAGAGCAUGACCCGCCGCAUCGGGACUGAGACACUGCCCGGACUCCUACGGGAGGCUGCAGUAACGAAUCUUCCGCAAUGCGCGAAAGCGUGACGGAGCAAUGCCGCGUGUGGGAUGAAGCCCUUCGGGGUGUAAACUACUGUCAGGGGUUACCAAUAAUGAGGAACCCCAAAGGAAGAGCCGGCUAACUCUGUGCCAGCAGCCGCGGUAAUACAGAGGGCUCGAGCGUUAAUCGGAAUCACUGGGCUUAAAGCGUGCGUAGGCGGAGGCGUAAGUGUCUUGUGAAAUCCCACAGCUCAACUGUGGAACUGCGGGGCAUACUGCGUCUCUUGAGGUCGGUAGAGGUCGCCGGAACUGUAGGUGUAGCGGUGAAAUGCGUAGAUAUCUACAGGAACGCCAAUGGUGAAGACAGGCGACUGGGCCGAUUCUGACGCUCAGGCACGAAAGCGUGGGGAGCAAACAGGAUUAGAUACCCUAGUAGUCC
rnacentral:rRNA from 1 species